AGACCCGAAACCCGGUGAUCUAGCCAUGGGCAGGUUGAAGGUUGGGUAACACUAACUGGAGGACCGAACCGACUAAUGUUGAAAAAUUAGCGGAUGACCUGUGGCUGGGGGUGAAAGGCCAAUCAAACCGGGAGAUAGCUGGUUCUCCCCGAAAGCUAUUUAGGUAGCGCCUCGUGAAUUCAUCUCCGGGGGUAGAGCACUGUUUCGGCUAGGGGGCCAUCCCGGCUUACCAACCCGAUGCAAACUGCGAAUACCGGAGAAUGUUAUCACGGGAGACACACGGCGGGUGCUAACGUCCGUCGUGAAGAGGGAAACAACCCAGACCGCCAGCUAAGGUCCCAAAGUCAUGGUUAAGUGGGAAACGAUGUGGGAAGGCCCAGACAGCCAGGAUGUUGGCUUAGAAGCAGCCAUCAUUUAAAGAAAGCGUAAUAGCUCACUGGUCGAGUCGGCCUGCGCGGAAGAUGUAACGGGGCUAAACCAUGCACCGAAGCUGCGGCAGCGAACGUAUCACCCAAGACAACUUUACGGAGUUGACGAUUGACGGAGCGAAGCGACGUCAAAGCGUUCAUUAAAGUCGAGUUGGCUUAGGGAUACGUUCGUUGGGUAGGGGAGCGUUCUGUAAGCCUGCGAAGGUGACCUGUGAGGGUUGCUGGAGGUAUCAGAAGUGCGAAUGCUGACAUAAGUAACGAUAAAGCGG
rnacentral:rRNA from 1 species